rnacentral:rRNA from 1 species
GAUGAACGCUGGCGGCGUGCCUAAUACAUGCAAGUCGAGCGAACAGAUAAGGAGCUUGCUCCUUUGAAGUUAGCGGCGGACGGGUGAGUAACACGUGGGUAACCUACCUAUAAGACUGGGAUAACUUCGGGAAACCGGAGCUAAUACCGGAUAACAUUUAGAACCGCAUGGUCCUAAAGUGAAAGAUGGUUUUGCUACCACUUAUAGAUGGACCCGCGCCGUAUUAGCUAGUUGGUAAGGUAACGGCUUACCAAGGCGACGAUACGUAGCCGACCUGAGAGGGUGAUCGGCCACACUGGAACUGAGACACGGUCCAGACUCCUACGGGAGGCAGCAGUAGGGAAUCUUCCGCAAUGGGCGAAAGCCUGACGGAGCAACGCCGCGUGAGUGAUGAAGGGUUUCGGCUCGUAAAACUCUGUUAUUAGGGAGGAACAAAUGUGUAAGUAACUGUGCACAUCUUGACGGUACCUAAUCAGAAAGCCACGGCUAACUACGUGCCAGCAGCCGCGGUAAUACGUAGGUGGCAAGCGUUAUCCGGAAUUAUUGGGCGUAAAGCGCGCGUAGGCGGUUUCUUAAGUCUGAUGUGAAAGCCCACGGCUCAGCCGUGGAGGGUCAUUGGAAACUGGGAAACUUGAGUGCAGAAGAGGAAAGUGGAAUUCCAUGUGUAGCGGUGAAAUGCGCAGAGAUAUGGAGGAACACCAGUGGCGAAGGCGACUUUCUGGUCUGUAACUGACGCUGAUGUGCGAAAGCGUGGGGAUCAAACAGGAUUAGAUACCCUGGUAGUCCACGCCGUAAACGAUGAGUGCUAAGUAUUAGGGGGUUUCCGCCCCUUAGUGCUGCAGCUAACGCAUUAAGCACUCCGCCUGGGGAGUACGACCGCAAGGUUGAAACUCAAAGGAAUUGACGGGGACCCGCACAAGCGGUGGAGCAUGUGGUUUAAUUCGAAGCAACGCGAAGAACCUUACCAAAUCUUGACAUCCUUUGAAAACUCUAGAGAUAGAGCCUUCCCCUUCGGGGGACAAAGUGACAGGUGGUGCAUGGUUGUCGUCAGCUCGUGUCGUGAGAUGUUGGGUUAAGUCCCGCAACGAGCGCAACCCUUAAGCUUAGUUGCCAUCAUUAAGUUGGGCACUCUAGGUUGACUGCCGGUGACAAACCGGAGGAAGGUGGGGAUGACGUCAAAUCAUCAUGCCCCUUAUGAUUUGGGCUACACACGUGCUACAAUGGACAAUACAAAGGGCAGCUAAACCGCGAGGUCAUGCAAAUCCCAUAAAGUUGUUCUCAGUUCGGAUUGUAGUCUGCAACUCGACUACAUGAAGCUGGAAUCGCUAGUAAUCGUAGAUCAGCAUGCUACGGUGAAUACGUUCCCGGGUCU